ACAAUUUUAAAGGUAACAUAUUUUAUUUGGGUCCUCACUGAGCUUUGAAAUAAGAUUUUGAUCUUGAAAUAUUGACAUUAUAGUGCAGAGAUAGAAAUACAAACACUACGAAAGAAAAUAGAGGAGCUCGAAGAGACUAUUCGGAGAUUAGAUGGAGACGAAAGCAGAAAACACUCAAAGAUCUGCGCUAUCAUGAAGCAACGACAGGGAUGGGACGUGGAUGAAAAGCUCAAAACUAAACCAAAUGAAAUACAUCCAAAAAGUCAAAUGAAUUCACGCGUUCAGUAAACAACCCAAAUUUAAUGAAAUUUAUUAUUUCUAUUUUAUCUAUAUACCUUCUCACUAUUGUAAAAAUAAAAUAUAUGUAUUUUUGUAUA